AAAGAAAGGAAAAGAAAGAAAGAAAGGAAGAAAGGAAUAAGGAGAAGAAGAGAAGGGAAGAGGGAGUUGGUGCUGAUUUUUUUUUUCUGAGUUUCUCUAGCAAGAAAGAACACUAAAAAGAGGAAAAGAAGGGUUUUGGUCUAAGAUACAAGAAUUAAAAAGAGAGGAAUGGAGAAGAAGGUGAACAGUAGCAUAAACAGGGGUUCAGCAGGGGCAACAUGUUUCUCUUCCGUCCAGGAGUUUAGUCCAAUUCAAGGGGCAAAGAUAUUGGGAGCAAAAAGGGAAGCAUUUGGUGAGGUUUUGGUCAAGCUUAAACAAGGUACUGGAGAUAUGGAGCGCGAGUCCAGUAAACUGUAGACUAGGAAUCAGACUUGGGUCUGCAGAAGUAUCAGAAGUGCUCAAGGUUGUCACCUCCUCAGCAAUGCAUGUAGAUAGGGCUCACAUUAGUCAUGUUAUGUAAUUUGUGUAUUAUAAUUAUUUAUUAUGUUGUAAUGUAAGUUAGGAAAUUGUAUGUA